rnacentral:rRNA from 1 species
UAACUCCGGUUGAUCCUGCCGGACCCCACUGCUAUCGGGAUAGGACUAAGACAUGCUAGUCGAGUGACUCAGGCAAAACGAGUCACGGCACACAGCUCAGUAACACGUGGCUAAUCUGCCCUUGGGACGAGAACAACCCCGGGAAACUGGGGCUAAUUCUCGAUAGGCGAAGAACACUGGAAUGUGUCUUCACCCAAAAAGCUUCACGUUAUCCUCGUGAAGUCGCCCAAGGAUGAGGCCGCGACCGAUCAGGUUGUUGGCGAGGUAAUGGCUCACCAAGCCUUUUACCGGUGCGGGCCGUGGGAGCGGGAGCCCGGAGAUGGGCACUGAGACAAGGGCCCAGGCCCUACGGGGCGCAGCAGUCGCGAAAACUUUGCAAUAAGCGAAAGCUUGACAGGGCUAUCCCGAGUGCCAUCCGCUGAGGAAGGCUUUUACCCAGUCUAGAACGCUGGGGGAAUAAGGAGAGGGCAAGUCUGGUGUCAGCCGCCGCGGUAAUACCAGCUCUCCGAGUGGUGUGGAUGUUUAUUGGGCCUAAAGCAUCCGUAGCUGGCUAAGUUAGUCCCUUGUUAAAUCCACCGAAUUAAUCGUUGGAUUGCGGGGGAUACUGCUUGGCUAGGGGACGAGAGAGGCAGACGGUAUUUUCGGGGUAGGGGUGAAAUCCUAUAAUCCCGGGAAGACCACCAGUGGCGAAGGCUGUCUGCUAGAACGCGCCCGACGGUGAGGGAUGAAAGCUGGGGGAGCGAACCGGAUUAGAUACCCGGGUAGUCCCAGCUGUAAACGAUGCAGGCUAGGUGUUUGG